rnacentral:rRNA from 1 species
UGAAUACGAGAUGCUACGGCAUUGAAGCAGUGUAUGUCAGACUUCCAAGAAAAGCUCGCAAUGUCAUAAACAAUAAAUGCCUGUACCAUAACCGACACAGGUGGGUAGGUAGAGUAUACUAAGGGGCGCGAGAUAACUCUCUCUAAGGAACUCGGCAAAAUGACUCCGUAACUUCGGGAGAAGGAGUGCCUUAUUUUAUAAGGUUGCAAUAACAAGAUCCAAGCAACUGUUUACCAAAAACACAGGUCUCCGCUAAGUCGAAAGACGAUGUAUGGGGGCUGACGCCUGCCCAGUGCCAGAAGGUUAAAGAAGUUGGUUAGCUUCGGCGAAGCUGAUGACUGAAGCCCUGGUGAACGGCGGCCGUAACUAUAACGGUCCUAAGGUAGCGAAAUUCCUUGUCGGGUAAGUUCCGACCCGCACGAAAGGCGUAAUGAUUUGGAUACUGUCUCGGAGAGGGGCUCGGUGAAAUAGACUUGUCUGUGAAGAUGCGGACUACCUGCACCUGGACAGAAAGACCCUAUGAAGCUUUACUGUAACUUGAGAUUGAAAUUGGACUUUAUUUGCGCAGUAUAUAGUGGGAGACGUUGAGAAUAUUCUUGCGGGAAUAUUGGAGUCAUCAGUGAGAUACCACUCUUGUAAUGUUAGAUUUCUAACUUUGUAUCAUUAUCUGGUCAAAGGACAGUUUCAGGCGGGCAGUUUGACUGGGGCGGUCGCCUCCUAAACGGUAACGGAGGCGCACAAAGGUUUCCUCUGAACGUGUAGAAAUCGUAUCUAGAGUGUAAAGGCAUAAGGAAGCUUGACUGUGAGACCUACAAGUCGAGCAGGGACGAGAGUCAGUCUUAGUGAUCUGACGGUGCUGAGUGGAAAGGCCGUCACUCAACGGAUAAAAGUUACUCUAGGAUAACAGGCUGAUCUCCCCCAAGAGUUCACAUCGACGGGGGAGGUUUGGCACCUCGAUGUCGGCUCAUCGCAUCCUGGGGCGGUAGUACGUCCCAAGGGUUGGGCUGUUCGCCCAUGAAAGCGGUACGCGAGCUGGGUUCAGAACGUCGUGAGACAGUUCGGUCCAUAUCCGGUGUAGGCGUUAGAAUAUUGAGAGGAGCCUUCUUUAGUACGAGAGGACCGAGAAGGACAUACCUCUGGUGUACCAGUUAUCGUGCCAACGGUAAACGCUGGGUAGCUAUGUAUGGAGUGGAUAACCGCUGAAAGCAUCUAAGUGGGAAGCCCACCUCAAGAUAAG